UAACACGUGGGCAACCUGCCAAGAAGUGGGGGAUAGCUCGCCGAAAGGCGAAUUAAUACCGCAUGUGAUUAGAGAGGACCAUCCUUUCCAAAUUAAAGUCGGGGCAACCUGACGCUUCUUGUGGGGCCCGCGGCCUAUCAGCUAGUUGGUGGGGUAACGGCUCACCAAGGCUUUGACGGGUAGCUGGUCUGAGAGGACGACCAGCCACACUGGGACUGAGACACGGCCCAGACACCUACGGGUGGCAGCAGUCGAGAAUUUUUGACAAUGGGGGAAACCCUGAUCGAGCGACGCCGCGUGGAGGAUGAAGGUCUUCGGAUUGUAAACUCCUGUCAUUGGGGAACAAGGUGCAUACGUUAACUGCGUGUGCAUUGAUAGUACCCGAAGAGGAAGAGACGGCUAACUCUGUGCCAGCAGCCGCGGUAAUACAGAGGUCUCAAGCGUUGUUCGGAUUCAUUGGGCGUAAAGGGUGCGUAGGCGGCGCGGUAAGUCGGGUGUGAAAUCUCGGAGCUUAACUCCGAAACUGCAUUCGAUACUGCCGUGCUUGAGGACUGGAGAGGAGACUGGAAUUCACGGUGUAGCA
rnacentral:rRNA from 1 species